UACAUGUAGUUCGGCCCAUCUCCACAUCCAAAUAAUAGUUUAUUCCAGCCACAAGCUGCUUACGAGCUCUCACCACCUGUACGGCGCGCGGCUGUGGUAUGCAUCUUUGCUGCCCUUGUACUGCUUACUGCGAAGUCCAACGCUCGCUGCACGCCCUCCUCGCUGGCAUCUGCCUCCUGCGGAGCUCCCAACAAUCGCGGGGGUGGCCUGGAGGUUCCGGCCCAGGCCACCGCCAGGACGGCCAGCAGUAGCAUCAAGGAGCGCAGCGGGCUGGCCAUGGUUUGGCAGGACAAAGCUCCAACAGUACUCUGAGGCGGUGCAGAGGAGAGGACCGCUUUAGUUCUUUCACUUACAUGGUUAUUGUGGCUUUUCCACGUUUCUAUGUCUGUCCCAGUUCCUUACCUGUUGAGAGGGGAUGCAGCCCCCCCCCCCCCGCCACCCCGCACCUCCCCCCAAGGCGGUUUUAUCAAGAUGGUGGGAAUGAAGAACAGAGCUGUACAAAGCGCAAGUGUCACAAGCUACUGUGGUGGCUGCGGCCACGCAGUGGUAUUAAUACCUUUCCCUACCUCUCCUCCCCGCAGCAUGUCAUGGUUUAGCGGCC
rnacentral:lncRNA from 1 species